rnacentral:rRNA from 1 species
UGGGCAUGCGUGACAUUAGCUAGUUGGUGGGGUAAAGGCCUACCAAGGCGACGAUGGGUAGCCGGCCUGAGAGGAUUACCCCCCACACUGGUACUGAGACACGGACCAGACUCCUACGGGAGGCAGCAGUGAGGAAUAUUGGUCAAUGGCCGGAAGGCUGAACCAGCCAUCCCGCGUGCAGGAUGACGGCCCUAUGGGUUGUAAACUGCUUUUGUACCUGGAAGAAUAGGCCCAACGAGUUGGGAUUUGCCGGUAAGGUAUGAAUAAGCAUCGGCUAACUCCGUGCCAGCAGCCGCGGUAAUACGGAGGAUGCAAGCGUUAUCCGGAUUCAUUGGGUUUAAAGGGUGCGCAGGUGGGAAAAUAAGUCAGUGGUGAAAUACUGCCGCUUAACGGUAGAAUUGCCAUUGAUACUGUUUUUCUUGAGUAUGGUUGAGGUAGGUGGAAUGUGUUGUGUAGCGGUGAAAUGCAUAGAUAUCACACAGAAUAUCAAUUGCGAAGGCAGCUCACAAAGCCAUUAUUGACGCUGAGGCACGAAAGCGUGGGGAUCGAACAGGAUUAGAUACCCUGGUAGUCCACGCCGUAAACGAUGCUCACUCGCUGUAUGCGAUACACAGUAUGCGGCCAAGCGAAAGCAUUAAGUGAGCCACCUGGGGAGUACGAUCGCAAGGUUGAAACUCAAAGGAAUUGACGGGGGCCCGCACAAGCGGAGGAACAUGUGGUUUAAUUCGAUGAUACGCGAGGAACCUUACCUGGGCUUAAAUGGGGAACGACAGCUGCCGAAAGGUGGCCUUCUUCGGACGUUCUUCAAGGUGCUGCAUGGUUGUCGUCAGCUCGUGCCGUGAGGUGUCGGGUUAAGUCCCAUAACGAGCGCAACCCUUAUCGUUAGUUGCCAGCGGGUCAAGCCGGGGACUCUAGCGAGACUGCCACCGUAAGGUGUGAGGAAGGUGGGGAUGACGUCAAAUCAGCACGGCCCUUAUGUCCAGGGCUACACACGUGUUACAAUGGCCAAUACAAAGGGCAGCUACCGGGCGACCGGAUGCUAAUCUCUAAAGUUGGUCUCAGUUCGGAUCGAAGUCUGCAACCCGACUUCGUGAAGCUGGAUUCGCUAGUAAUCGCGCAUCAGCAAUGAUACGGUGAAUACGUUCCCGGGACC